rnacentral:rRNA from 1 species
CGCAUCUGUGCAUGCAGCAUAUCAAUAAGCGGAGGAAAAGGAACUAACAAGGAUUCCCUUAGUAACGGCGAGUGAAGCGGGAAGAGCUCAAAUUUGGAAUCUUCAAGGUUUUACCUUGACGAAUUGUAGUUUAAAGAAGUGUUUUCUGUUGAAGUUUUGGUAAAAGUUCUUUGGAAUAGGACAUCAUAGAGGGUGAGAAUCCCGUAUUUGACCAUUAUUUUCAGCUGUGUGAUACACUUUCAAAGAGUCGGAUUGUUUGGAAGGCAGUCCAAAAUGGGUGGUAAAUUUCAUCUAAAGCUAAAUAUUGGCGAGAGACCGAUAGCGAACAAGUACCGUGAGGGAAAGAUGAAAAGAACUUUGAAAAGAGAGUUAAACAGUACGUGAAAUUGUCAAAAGGGAAGCGUUUGACACCAGUGUUGUUUUCUCGAAAAUCAAUUAAAAAGAGUUAGAUCUUGUUGUGUAUUGACCUUAACAGCUUGCAUUUCAAUUUUCUUGCUUUUUUUAAUGCACUUUUCGUUUAACAAGUCAACAUCAGUUUCUUUUGUUGUAAAAAGGUCAUUGGAAGGUGGCUUUCUUUUCGGAGAAAGUGUUUAUAGCCUUUGACUCCUGCAAUCGGAGAGACUAAGGUCUGCAGCGUAGAUCCUUCGGGGUUAGAUACAUUUGUGCUAAGUUAUAGCUUUUUAUAGACAACUUGUUGACUAUGAUUAGUCUUGUAGCUUACUCGCUUAUGCUAUUUUACCUACGCUUAGGAUGUUGAUGUGAUACUGCGAGCA